AAUGUUUAUUAUUCAUGCUAGAAUUGUAUUAACCGGAAACAUAAUACAUGUGUGAAUACAUAGACCAACAGAGUGUCACUAGUAUGCCUCUACUAGACUAGCUCGUUAAUCAAAGAUGGUUAUGUUUCCUAACCAUAAACAAAGAGUUGUUAUUUGAUUAACGAGGUCACAUCAUUAGUAGAAUGAUCUGAUUGACAUGACCCAUUCCAUUAGCUUAGCACCCGAUCGUUUAGUAUGUUGCUAUUGCUUUCUUCAUGACUUAUACAUGUUCCUAUAACUAUGAGAUUAUGCAACUCCCGUCUGCCGGAGGAACACUUUGGGUACUACCAAACGUCACAACGUAACUGGGUGAUUAUAAAGGAGUAUUACAGGUGUCUCCAAUGGUAGAUGUUGGGUUGGCGUAUUUCGAGAUUAGGGUUUGUCACUCCGAUUGACGGAGAGGUAUCUCUGGGCCCUCUCGGUAAUGCACAUCACAUAAGCCUUGCAAGCACUGCAACUAAUAAGUUAGUUGUGAGAUGAUGUAUUACGGAACGAGUAAAGAGACUUGCCGGUAACGAGAUUGAACUAGGUAUUGGAUACCGACGAUCGAAUCUCGGGCAAGUAACAUACCGAUGACAAAGGGAACAACGUAUGUUGUUAUGCGGUCUGACCGAUAAAGAUCUUCGUAGAAUAUGUAGGAGCCAAUAUGGGCAUCCAGGUCCCGCUAUUGGUUAUUGACCGGAGACGUGUCUCGGUCAUGUCUACAUUGUUCUCGAACCGUAGGGUCCGCACGCUUAACGUUACGAUGACAGUUAUUAUGAGUUUAUGCAUUUUGAUGUACCGAAGGUUGUUCGGAGUCCCGGAUGUGAUCACGGACAUGACGAGGAGUCUCGAAAUGGUUGAGACGUAAAGAUUGAUAUAUUGGAAGCCUAUGUUUGGACAUCGGAAGUGUUCCGGGUGAAAUCGGGAUUUUACCGGAUUACCGGGAGGGUUACCGGAACCCCCCGGGAGCCAAAUGGGCCAACAUGGGCCUUAGUGGAAAGGUGAGAGGGCAGCCCACAUAGGGCUGCGCCUCCCCCCCUCUCCCUAGUCCUAUUAGGACUAGGAGAGGGGCCGGCCACCUCUCUCUCUCUCCCCUUUGAAGGUUUCCUAGUUGGACUAGGAUUGGAGGGGGGAGUCCUACUCCCGGUGGGAGUAGGACUCCUCCUGCGCCUACACCUCUUUGGCCGGCCAGCCCCCCUCCCUCCAACCUUUAUAUACGGAGGCAGGGGGCACCCCAAGACACACAAGUUGAUCCUUGAGAUCGUUCCUUAGCCGUGUGCGGUGCCCCCUGCCACCAAAUUCCACCUCGAUCAUACCGUUACAGUGCUUAGGCGGAGCCCUGCGUCGGUAGUACAUCAAGAUCGUCACCACGCCGUCGUGCUGACGGAACUCUUCCUCGACGCUUUGCUGGAUCGGAGCUAGAGGAACGUCAUCGAGCUGAACGUGUGCUAAGAACUCGGAGGUGCCGGAGUAACGGUGCUUGGAUCGGUCGGAUCGGGAAGAAGACGUACGACUACUUCCUCUACGUUGUGAGAUCGCUUCCGCAGUCGGUCUGCGUUGGUACGUAGACAACACUCUCCCCUCUCGUUGCUGUACAUCACCAUGAUCUUGCGUGUGCGUAGGAAAAUUUUUGAAAUUACUGCGUUCCCCAACAGUGGCAUCCGAGCCUAGGUUUUAUGGUUUGAUGUUAUAUGCACGAGUAGAACACAAGUGAGUUGUGGGCGAUACAAGUCAUACUGCCUACCAGCAUGUCAUACUUUGGUUCGGCGGUAUUGUUGGAUGAAGCGGCCCGGACCAACCUUACGCGUACGCUUACGCGAGACCGGUUUCCCCGACGUGCUUUGCACACAGGUGACUUGCGGGUGACUGUCUCUCCAACUUUAGUUGAACCAAGUGUGACUACGCCCGGUCCUUGAGAAGGUUAAAACGGAGUCUAUUUGACGAACUAUCGUUGUGGUUUUGAUGCGUAGGUGAGAUGAGUUCUUACUUAAGCCCGUAGCAGCCACGUAAAACUUGCAACAACAAAGUAGAGGACGUCUAACUUGUUUUUGCAGGGUAUGUUGUGAUGUGAUAUGGUCAAGGCAUGAUGCUGAUUUUAUUGUAUGAGAUGAUCAUGUUUUGUAACUAAGUUAUCGGCAACUGGCAGGAGCCAUAUGGUUGUCGCUUUAUUGUAUGCAAUGCAAUCGCGAUGUAAUGCUUUACUAGAUUACUAAACGGUAGUAAUAGUCAUGGAAGCAUAAGAUUGGCGAGACGACAACGAUGCUACGAUGGAGAUCAAGGUGUCGCGCCGGUGACGAUGGUGAUCAUGACGGUGCUUCGGAGAUGGAGAUCACAAGCACAAGAUGAUGAUGGCCAUAUCAUAUCACUUAUAUUGAUUGCAUGUGAUGUUUAUCCUUUUAUGCAUCUUAUCUUGCUUUGAUUGACGGUAGCAUUAUAAGAUGAUCUCUCACUAAAUUAUCAAGAAGUGUUCUCCCUGAGUAUGCACCGUUGCCAAAGUUCGUCGUGCCCAGACACCACGUGAUGAUCGGGUGUGAUAAGCUCUACGUCCAUCUACAACGGGUGCAAGCCAGUUUUGCACACGCAGAAUACUCAGGUUAUACUUGACGAGCCUAGCAUAUGCAGAUAUGGCCUCGGAACACAGAGACCGAAAGGUCGAGCGUGAAUCAUAUAGUAGAUAUGAUCAACAUGACGAUGUUCACCAUUGAAAACUACUCCAUCUCACGUGAUGAUCGGUUAUGGUUUAGUUGAUUUGGAUCACGUGAUCACUUAGAGGAUUAGAGGGAUGUCUAUCUAAGUGGGAGUUCUUAAGUAAUAUGAUUAAAUUGAACUUAAAUUUAUCAUGAACUUAGUCCUGGUAGUAUUUUGCAAAUUAUGUUGUAGAUCAAUAGCUCGCGUUGUUGCUUCCCUGUGUUUAUUUUGAUAUGUUCCUAGAGAAAAUUGUGUUGAAAGAUGUUAGUAGCAAUGAUGCGGAUUGGAUCCGUGAUCUGAGGUUUAUCCUCAUUGCUGCACAGAAGAAAUAUGUCCUUGAUGCACCGCUAGGUGACAGACCUAUUGCAGGAGCAGAUGCAGACGUUAUGAACGUUUGGCUAGCUCAAUAUGAUGACUACUUGAUAGUUUAGUGCACCAUGCUUAACGGCUUAGAAUCGGGACUUCAAAGACGUUUUGAACGUCAUGGACCAUAUGAGAUGUUCCAGGAGUUGAAGUUAAUAUUUCAAGCAAAUACCCGAGUUGGGAGAUAUGAGGUCUCCAACAAGUUCUAUAGCUAAAAGAUGGAGGAGAAUCGCUCAACUAGUGAGCAUGUGCCCAGAUUGUCUGAGUACGUCAAUCACUUGAAUCAAGUGGGAGUUAAUCUUCCAGAUAAAAUAGUGAUUGACAGAAUUCUCUAGUCACCAUCACCAAGUUAGUAGAACUUCGUGAUGAACUAUAAUAUGCAAGGGAUAACGGAAACAACUCCCAAGCUCUUCGUGAUGCUGAAAUCAACGAAGGUAGAAAUCAAGAAAAACAUCAAGUGUUGAUGGUUGACAAGAUCACUAGUUUCAAGAAAAGGGCAAAGGAAAGAAGGGGAACUUCAAAAGAACGGCAAGCAAGUUGCUACUCAAGUGAAGAAGCCCAAGUCUGAUCCUAAGCCUGAGACUAAGUGCUUCUACUGCAAAGGGACUGGUCACUAGAAGCGGAACUACCCCAAGUGAUUGGCGGAUAAGAAGGAUGGCAAAGUGAACAUAAGUAUAUUUGAUAUACAUGUUAUUGAUGUGUACUUUACUAGUGUUUAUAGCAAACCCUCAGUAUUUGAUACUAGUUCAGUUGCUAAGAUUAGUAACUCGAAACGGGAGUUGCAGAAUAAACAGAGACUAGUUAAGGGUGAAGUGACGAUGUGUGCUGGAAGUGGUUCCAAGAUUGAUAUGAUCAUCAUCGCACACUCCCUAUAAUUUCGGGAUUAGUGUUGAACCUAAAUAAGUGUUAUUUGGUGUUUGCGUUGAACAUGAAUAUGAUUUGAUCAUGUUUAUUGUAAUACGGUUAUUCAUUUAAGUAAGAGAAUAAAUUGUUGUUCUGUUUACAUGAAUAAAACCUAAUAUGGUUAAACACCCAAUGAAAAUAGUUCAUUGGAUCUCGAUAUUAAUAAUACACAUAUUCAUAUUAUUGAAACCAAAAGAUGCAAAGUUAAUAAUGAUAGUGCAACUUAUUUGUGGCACUACCGUUUAGGUCAUAUUGGUGUAAAGCGCAUGAAGAAACUCCAUGCUGAUGGGCUUUUGGAAUCACUUGAUUAUGAAUCAGUUGAUGCUUGCGAACCAUGCCUUUUGGGCAAGAUGACUAAAACGCCGUUCUCCGGAACAAUGGAGCGAGAAAAGAUUUAUUGGAAAUCAUACAUACUGAUGUAUGUGGUCCGAUGAAUAUUGAGGAUCGCGACAGGUAUCAUUAUUUUCUGAUCUUCACAGAUGAUUUGAGCAGAUAUGAGUAUAUCUACUUGAUGAAACAUAAGUCUGAAACAUUUGAAAAGUUCAUAUAAUUUCAGAGUGAAGUGGAAAAUCAUCGUAACAAGAAAAUAAAGUUUCUACGAUCUGAUCGUGGAAAAGAGUAUUUGAGUUACGAGUUUGGUCUUCAGUUAAAACAAUGUGAAAUAGUUUCACUACUCACGCCACCUGGAACACCACAUCAUAAUGGUGUGUCCGAACGUCAUAACCGUACUUUAUUGAAUAUAGUGCAAUCUAUGAUGUAUCUUACUGAUCUACCACUAUCGUUUUGGGAUUAUGCAUUAGAGACAGCUGCAUUCACGUUAAAAAGGAGCACCAUCUAAGUCCGUUGAGACGACACAAUCUGAACUGUGGUUUAGCAAGAAACCAAAGUAAUCGUUUCUUAAAAGUUUGGGGUUGUGAUGCUUAUGUGAAAAAGUUUCAUCCUGAUAAACUCAAACUCAAAUCGGAGAAGUGCGUCUUCAUAAGAUAUCCAAAGGAAACUAUUGGAUACACCUUCUAUCACAGAUCCGAAGGCAAAAAACUUUUGUUGCUAAAAUUCGGAAACUUUCUGGAGAAGGAGUUUCUCUCGAAAGAAGUGAGUGGGAGGAAAGUAGAACUUGACGAGGUAACUGUACCUGCUCCCUUAUUGGAAAUUAGUACAUCACAGAAAACUGUUUCUGCGACACCUAUGCCAAUUAGUGAGGAAGCUAAUGAUGAUGAUCAUGAAGCUUCAGGACAAGAUACUACUGAACCACGUAGAUCAACCAGAGUGAGAUCCGCACCAGAGUGGUACGGUAAUCCUGUUCUGGAAGUCAUGCUACUAGAUCAUGAUGAUCCUACGAACUAUGAAGAAGCGAUGGUGAGCCCAGAUUCCGCAAAGUGGCUUGAAGCCAUGAAAUCUGAGAUAUGAUCCAUGUAUGAGAACAAAGUAUGGACUUUGAUUGACUUGCCCGAUGAUCGGCAAGCCAUAGAAAAUAAAUGGAUCUUCAAGAGGAAGACGGACGCUGAUAGUAGUGUUACUAUCUACAAAGCUAGAAUUGUCGCAAAAGGUUUUCGACAAGUUCAAGGUGUUGACUACGAUGAGAUUUUCUCACUCGUAUCUAUGCUUAAAUCUGUCCGAAUCAUGUUAGCAAUUGCCGCAUUUUAUGAAAUCUGGCAAAUGGAUAAACAAAACUGCAUUCCUUAAUGGAUUUGCUAAAGAAGAGUUGUAUACGAUGCAACUAGAAGGUUUUGUCGAUCCUAAAGGUGUUAACUAAAUAUGCAAGCUCCAGCGAUCUAUCUGUGGACUGGUGCAAACAUCUCGGAGUUGGAAUAUACGCUUUGAUGAGUUGAUCAAAGCAUAUAGUUUUAUACAGACUUGCGGUGAAGCCUGUAUUUACAAUAAAGUGAGUGGGAGCACUACAGCAUUUCUGAUAAAGUUGAUCGGAAAUAAUGUAGAAUCAUUCUGUAAAGCAUAAAGGAGUGUUUGAAAGGAGUUUUUCAAAAAAAGACUUCGGUGAAGCUGCUUACAUAUUGAGCAUCAAGAUCUAUAGAGAUAGAUCAAGACGCUUGAUAAGUUUUUUCAAUGAGUACAUACCUUGACAAGAUUUUGAAGUAGUUCAAAAUGAAACAGUCAAAGAAAGAGUUCUUGCCUGUGUCAUAAGGUGUGAAGUUGAGUAAGACUCAAAGCCCGACCACGGCAGAAGAUAGAAAGAGAAUGAAAGUCAUUCCCUAUGCCUUGGCCAUAGGUUCUAUAAAGUAUGUCAUACUGUAUACCAGAUCUAUUGUAUACCCUGCACUGAUUUAGCAAGGGAGUACGAUAGUGAUCUAGGAGUAGAUCACUGGACAGCGGUCAGAAUUAUCCUUAGUGAAAUAAGGAUAUGUUUCUCGAUUAUGGACGUGACAAAAAGGUUCGUCGUAAAAGGUUACGUCGAUGCAAGUUUUGACACUGAUCUGGAUGACUCUAAGUCUCGAUCUAGAUACAUAUUGAAAGUGGGAGCAAUUAGCUAGAGUAGCUCCGUGCAGAGCAUUGUAUACAUAGAAAAUUGCAAAAUACUUACGGAUCUGAAUGUGACAGACCCGUUGACUAAAAUUAUCUCACAAGCAAAACAUGAUCACACCUUAUUACUCUUUGGGUGUUAAUCACAUAGAUAUGUGAACUAGAUUACUGACUCUAGUAAACCCUUUGAGUGUUGGCCACAUGACGAUGUGAACUAUGGGUGUUAAUCACAUGGUGAUGUGAGCUAUUGCUGUUAAAUCACAUGGCGAUGUGAACUAGAUUAUUGACUCUAGUGCAAGUGGGAGACUGAAGGAAAUAUGCCCUAGAGGCAAUAAUAAAGUUAUUAUUUAUUUCCUUAUAUCAUGAUAAAUGUUUAUUAUUCAUGCUAGAAUUGUAUUAACCGGAAACAUAAUACAUGUGUGAAUACAUAGACCAACAGAGUGUCACUAGUAUGCCUCUACUAGACUAGCUCGUUAAUCAAAGAUGGUUAUGUUUCCUAACCAUAAACAAAGAGUUGUUAUUUGAUUAACGAGGUCACAUCAUUAGUAGAAUGAUCUGAUUGACAUGACCCAUUCCAUUAGCUUAGCACCCG
rnacentral:lncRNA from 1 species